UUGACCUACGGGACGCAGCAGUGAGGAAUAUUGGUCAAUGGGCGAGAGCCUGAACCAGCCAAGUCGCGUGAGGGAGUACUGCCCUAUGGAUUGUAAACCUCUUUUGCCGGGGAGCAACGGGGUCCUUGCGAGGUCCCAAUGAGAGUACCCGGAGAAAAAGCAUCGGCUAACUCCGUGCCAGCAGCCGCGGUAAUACGGAGGAUGCGAGCGUUAUCCGGAUUUAUUGGGUUUAAAGGGUGCGUAGGCGGGCUGUUAAGUCAGCGGUCAAAUGUCGGGGCUCAACCCCGGCCUGCCGUUGAAACUGG
rnacentral:rRNA from 1 species